UCUCUCUCUCUAGAAACAAGUCCGGCGAGAAUUCCGGCGGAGUUCCGGCGACCGGCGAAUUUUCCGGCGAAUUUUCUGGCGAAUUUUCUGGCGGCCGUUUUUCGGCCAAGAGUACACUUUUUCAACUAUAUCCGACGUUCCGGAUCGCGUGGUGAGAUGCUUAGAUCGGGACUUGAGGAGCAUUUCUGCAAAUUUUCAAGAAAUUUUAUUCUCCGGCGAAAUUCCGACUUCUGACAUGGUUUUGGCGAGGUUCCAGCCGUCCGUUUUCGACGAAAAUUAUAUUUUUGGGCUCCUAGUGACCCGUAGAGUCCAUACGAAACACUUUCGUCUCGGGUGAAAAUUUAAGUUCGGGACGCUCUCGGGCUCGGGUCAACGCGGUCAACAGGUCAAACACGGGUCAAGAGGCAGUUUUGGGUCAUUUUUAGUGCCUCGGUUUAGUUUCGGGUCCGGUCAACACGGGUCAAACGUGGUCAAAGCUGGUCAAAGGUGGUCAAAGCUGGUCAAACUCAGUCAACUGCUGGUCAACGCAAUCAACUCAGUCAACACGAGGCUCGGAAUGUCGUAGUUGCACGCUAGCUACUUCACAUUCUUGGAACGACACUACGGAAUCACGUUAAGCUAGCUUUGCACAGGAAUAUUCAGGCAGCCUACGCAUAACGAAACGCUAGUGCACAAGAAUACAUGGAACUCAAAUUUUACGUCAACGGAUGUCGGGGUACAUCACAUUCUACGCGGAACGUAACGCUAGUGCACAGGUAUACGCGAAACUCAAUAUGUACAUCAACGAAGGUUGAAGUACGACACAUACGACUAUCGAGGCGAGGCCUUUGAAAAGACACGGUGGCGCAAUUCAACGACGAAACUAGAUUCCUGUCAGCAGGAGAACUAUCGAUCAGGAAGUAGCGGCUUGGCACGCGUUCCUGCAAACGACACAAAACACGCCAAGGAGAAGAUGUAUGUCUCCUCAUUCCCCUAACUUAUAACGACGAAUACUCCAUGUUCGACAUUCCAUGGUAAUGUCGCCUAACAACUGGUUAUCACAUGCAACCCCAGGUUGCAUUUCUAAGACAAGGCACGGUUGGAAUAGGAGAACCAUGUGGAGUCGAGUACUUAGCAGGCGUUCAAUUUCUAGAAGUCUUAGCUUAUAUUUACUUCCGCUGUGCAAUGAAGAUACCAGUCCAGUUACGCCAGCUCUGAUAAUUUCGGGGUGUGACAAAUAUCCGAUAUUCAAAUGUAAACAGUAGGGUUCU
rnacentral:lncRNA from 1 species